rnacentral:rRNA from 1 species
UUGGGGUCCACUUCGGUGGCGCGCACACAGGUGCUGCAUGGCUGUCGUCAGCUCGUGUCGUGAGAUGUUGGGUUAAGUCCCGCAACGAGCGCAACCCACGUCCUUAGUUGCCAUCAUUCAGUUGGGCACUCUAGGGAGACUGCCGGUGAUAAGCCGCGAGGAAGGUGUGGAUGACGUCAAGUCCUCAUGGCCCUUACGGGAUGGGCUACACACGUGCUACAAUGGCGGUGACAGUGGGACGCGAAGGAGCGAUCUGGAGCAAAUCCCCAAAAGCCGUCUCAGUUCGGAUUGCACUUUGCAACUNGGGUGCANGAAGGCGG